CACCUGUAAUCCCAGCUACUCGGGAGGCCAAGACACGAGAAUAGCUUGAGCCUGGGAGGCAGAGGCUGCAGGGCUAGAUCCCGUCUCAAAAAAAAAAAAAAAAAAAAGAAAAGAAAGAAAGAAAUUUUGGAAUUAUCACUUUGGCUAAAUGAAUGACCAUCAUUUUAUAGUGGCCUGUGAUCCUAGGGUCUUAGGCACAGGGGAUACAGCAAUGAGCAAACAUGCAUUCUGAUGAAGAGAUGCUGACAAUCACAACCACACAAAUAAGCAAGAUAAUUUCCCAUAGAGAUAAGAGCUUUGAGGAAGCCAGAAUGCAGGAAUGUGAUAGAAAGUGGCUGGCAAGAGGGAGCUGAGGCUGGUGGGUCCAAGAAGUCCUCUCCAGGGAGAUGACAUUUGAGCAGUGAUCUGGACAAUGAAAAAGCGCUGACUGCACCUCCAGGUGAGAAGAACUUACUGGGCUGAGGAGAAAGCAAGCCAUCAAAAACCCCAAGGAGGGAGUUUGGUGUGUUCAGAGAACUGGAAGGAGGGAACGCCAUGAAAGAGAGGCCAGUAGCAUGUGCGGGGCAGAGAGGGAGCCGGCUUCUUAGCCCGUGGAGAGAGAAAGCAGGAACUAAAGCCAGCACCAACGGGAAGGGCUGCAUCUGGAGAGAGAGGGAGAGCAGCUGCAGGUUGGUCAAGCUGCUGUAAGGCCCUGCCCAGGCCAUACGAACACAGGGAGCUACUUUCCCUGUCCUCGGGACAAAUGUCACAGAGGCAGAGAGGUCUGAGGGAUGGGGGGAUAUGGAAAAUAGUUGCAUAACUUUAAGAGAUGGGUGCCAUUUAACUCAUUUCACACAGGAGGCACUAAGCCAGAGCACACUGAAUGAUGGCCCCCAUCUCAAUUUCCUUCCAGCCCUGCUCCUUGCUUUCCUGCAUCCAUGCCACGCGAUUUCCUGAAUCCAUGCCCCUCGCUUUCCCGCAUCCAUGCUCCUCGUUUUCCCGCAUCCAUGCCCCUCGUUUUCCCGUAUCCAUGCCCCUCGUUUUCCCGUAUCCAUGCCCCCCGCUUUCCCGCACCCGUGCCCCUCCGCUUUCCCGCUCCAUGCCCUUUGCUUUCCCUGUGAGUUCUCAGGGCUCUAUUUCCAUUGAAAUUAAAACCCAGUUCCCUGUAGAGUAACUGUCUAUCAGUAGUUCGUGCCUAGUUUCCUUCUCCUUUGUAUUAAGUGACACCAUCUGGCCUUCCCAGUCACCUUGGGCUCGUGUUUCCUUUGGAUGGCUUCCCAAGGGGCAGAGGGCUCCUGAGCAGCAUGUCUUGUGACACAACUUAAUUAGGAUUGUAUUUCAUUCUGCAUUUUACAAACAGAUGACUUCAGCUUUGGGUUCUAAAAGGAAGAAAAGCAGACCCUCUUCCCUUUGGGACUUAGUUGAGUGACCAUUUCUCUUACACAUCUUACUAGACACUGUAUGGAAAAGAAUCUGGACAGACUCAUUCCCUUCAUUCUUCUGUGUACAUAAGCUCCUACUACGGUGUCAAGCCCUGGGGACUAGAAUUCUGUCUUUAAACUUCAGGAAGUCACAGUAGAAUCACAAUGUCAGACACAGUCUACGAAACGCUUCGUAUAUGUUACCUCAUUUGAUCUUUGUAAUCAACCCAUGAGGCAGGUGGGGUGUGGCGGGUAUGAUAGUCUCCUUCUAUGUUGCUGGCUUAGAGAAGGUCAGUGACUUGUUUAAGGUCACACUGCUGGUUCCUGGAAGAACUGGGCCUAACACAGGCCUGUUGGCUCUGUUUUCAUCCCUCUGGAAUCUUAAUCCUUAGCACUUCAGAGUGGUGGAAUUCAAGAUUGGGCCACUUAGCAAACUGGUCCCUUAAUUUAUUAAAUUGUAUUGACAUGUGAGCUGCAUGACCACUGCUUGGACGGGGCUUCUCAGGUAGACAAGUUCUGUUUUCAUAGCGAGAGAAUGAACUUCCUGGGAGGCUGGAAGAAAGUGAGGGAGGUGAAUGAUGAGCAAUCAGCUGGUCUACUCAUAAUAUCCUCAACAGGGACCACUUCCAGUGGUAGCCAGGUAACCUAUCAGAAUGACCUCCUGUAGAUAACAACUCUAAACUCUGGAGUGCAGAAAAAUUACCUGAAGUCACUAAGGGAGAUCAAAAGCCAGAAUCUCAGAAAGGAGUCAAUACUUGAAGGAAGGGAAUGGCACUGGGUGAGUUUCCUGUAUUUUUUUUUUUUUUUUUUUUUUUUUUGAUACAGUGUCUCACUUUGUUUCCCAGGCUGGAGUGCAGUGGUGCCAUCUCAGCUCACUGCAACCUCCGCAUCCCGGGUUCAAGUGAUUCUUCUGCCUCAGCCUCCUAAGUAGCUGGGAUUGCAGACACCUGCCACCAUGCCUGGCUAAUUUUUGUAUUUUUAGUAGAGACAGGGUUUCGCCAUGUUGGCCAGGCUGGUCUCGAACUCAUGACCUCAGGAGGUCUGCCUGCCUCGGCCUCCCAAAGUGCUGGGAUUACAGGCGUAAGCCACCACGCCCAGCCCAGACAUUUAUUUCUUACUGGAAAAUUGAGGAUCAAGGUGCAGCAGACAUGGUUUCUGGGGAGGAUGCUCUCUGCUUGUCUUGCAGAUGGCACCUUCUUGCUAUGUCCUCACAUUGCAGAGAGAGAAAGAGAAAGAGGUGGGGGGAGGGCGGGGAAGGGAGAGAGAGAACUCUGGUCUCUCUUCCUCUUGGUAUAAAGCCACUAAUCCCAUCAUGAGGACCCCACUCUCUUGACCUUAUCCUUAAUCACUUCCCAAAGCCCCCCGCCCUGCAACUCCAAAUACCAUCAUACUGGGGAUUAGGGCUUCGACCUACACAUUUUUAUUACUACGUGUUAUGAACUGAACACAAUUCAGUCCAUAGCAGGUAGUAAUAAAAAAUACAAGUGGUGCUCUUCACUUGUGGCAGCUGAAGAACCUAAAUUCUCGUGCCUGAAGCCUCCUUUCUGCUUCUCUGGCCAUGUGGUCCUCGCGACCAGGGGUGCACGCUGGGCCCAGAUUGUCCCCCACAGGUCAGGAAUUUACUUGAAAGGAACGCUGCAGGCCAGUGAAGAGCUGGCAAAAAUUGUCAUGGAGAAGCAAUGAUCCAAAGACAGCUUUGGGACCCGCUGGCUCAGGAAGACUGGCUAGAUGUGGGCCACAUGUGCCCAGAAGGUGGGAGAUGUGUGUGCUGCUCAUUGUGUGUACCUUCUUGUUACUUCUGUCAGAGCUGAACUUGAAAUUGCCAUCUCAUUUUUGGAGACCUACAGUUGAAUAUUUGCAUAUCUCUGGAAUGGUGUCUUAGUCUGUUUUGUGCUACUAUAACAGAAGACCACAGACUGAGUCAUUUAUAAGAGCAGAAAAUUUAUUUGGCUCAUGGAGCAGCCUAGAACCCUACUAUUAGGUCUGAGUCAGUCAGAUGGAAAGAAGGCGAAGUAGAAGCAUCGAGGUCGAAUCAGUCACACAUGGACUUCCCUAGUGGACUCAUUGAAAACCAGACCUUCUGAGCCACCCUUGGUAGGGGCUCUGGAAGUGGCUUCUGAAGAGACCCCAUUCUGCACCUCCACCAAGGGCCUGGUGGGAGAAGUGUGCCCUGCAGUGCCCUCAGAAAGGCCCACUGAAACUGCAAACAUUCCCUUUCUGCACUGCCAUUUGGUUCAUGAAGACAUAUGGCUGGGAGAAGUUGAGUAUCCUAUGUCACCUUUUAGUCCAACAAUUUUAUGGAGGCUUAGCAUGGGCAGGCCUGGUGCCAGGUGAUGAGGAUGCACAUGGGAGCAGAUCUGGCCCUGCACAUAGGAGCCCACAUUUCUGGAUAGUGGGGCGGAGGUGACACAUGUCCACAUAACUGCAGUGUACAGAGAUAGCAAAACAGUAAGAUACAGGAUGAUUGAAGGUCUGUCUGUAGCUCAUCCAAAUGAUAUGGUGACCAGUUCCCAAGAGGAAUCUCUACACGUUUCCUGCUAUUGAGCCUAUGGAGCGUGAUAAAAGAAAUCUGGGCUGGGUGUGGUGGCUCACGCCUGUAAUCCCACCACUUUGGGAGGCUGAGGUGGGUGGAUCACCUGAGGUCAGGAAUUCUAGACCAGCCUGGCCAACAUGACAAAACCCCUUCUCUACUAAAAAUACAAAAAAUUAGCCAGGCAUGGUGGCAGAUGCCUGUAAUCCCAGCUAUUUGGGAGGCUGAGGCAGGUGCCAUCCCAGCCAACAUGGCACCAUCCCAGCCAGCAUGGUGCUAUCCCAGAAAAUAUGGCACCAUUCUAACCAACAUGGCACCACCCCAGCCUCAGGUAUUCCUUUAUAGCAAUACGAAUGGACUAAGACACUGGCAUAGCAAUAACACUAAUAAAUAUAUAUUGACUGAAUGAAAGAACAAACAUGUUAUCUUUCUGAAAGAAUAUAUUUUUUGGCCAGGCUUGGUGGCUCACGCCUGUAAUCCCAGCACUUUGGGAGGCCGAGGCGGGAGGAUCUCCUGAGCCUAGGAGUUCAAGACCUGCCUGGGCGAUAUAGGGAGACCCCAUUUCUACAAAAAAUUUAAAAAUUAGCAGGGUGUGGUGGUGCGUGCCUGUAGUCCCAGCUACUCGGGAGGCUGGGGUGGGAGGAUUACCUGAACUGGGAGGUGAAGGUUUCAGUGAGCUGAGAUCACACCACUGCACUCCAAUCUAGGUGAGAGACCUUGCUUCAAAAAAAAAAUUGAGCUCCUGGGCUCAAGCAAUCCUCCUGCCUUGGCCUCCCAAAGCACUGGGACUUUUACAGGCACCACCAGUUAUUACAGAACUCAAAAGCAACUGUGCACUGGACCACUCUGUAUUGUGUUCGGUGAGGCCAUGCCCGCGUAUAGAUACAGGAAUGCUGAGGAACAGCACUGAAGAGUGACCUAAACAGCAAUCACCAACUGCUGGUGUUUGGCUUUGUUCCUCAUAUGAAAGGAUUUGAAGCCCAGGGAGUAGGCUGGUUGAAUGAAAAAUAUUUGCUUGACACGAUAGUUGCUAUUUCUAGAUGAAUUCAGGGAACUAUGGGAGCCUCUCACAAGCAUGAAAAAUCCAAGUAUUCAGAUGGAAGUUGGGGCUCUUAUUUUCCAGCUUGGGCCUGUACCAGGGCUACAAGGACAUACAAUGCUAAAUCAAUUAAAAACCAAAAUCUACUCAAAACCAUUUAUUUCAAAAAAGUUCUGGAGAUGGAUGGUGGCGAUGGUUACACAGCAAUGUGAAUGUGCUUAAUGUCACUGAACUGUACGCUUAAAAAUGGUUAGGAUGGUAAAGUUUUUUUUUUUUUUCCUUAGGGGGAUCCUUUAUUUCAUUCACUUCCUCCUUACAAGGUGAAAUUUCAAUCUGUACAGGUUGUGUCUGCCAGUUCAGUCCACAGCUCAGAGUAUCACCUUGUCCUCAUUCCAUGGUAUAAGCUGUUGUGGGGGGACAGGUCUGAGGGUCGUGGAUUCACUGGACUGGAUGGGACAUGAUCCAGAACUCCACUCCGUUUGGCUUCCCAAGGAUCCCACCACCUCAUUCUAAUCAGUGAUCAUUGAGGAAAUGCAUUGUAUUCCUAUUCACUAUUUCAAAGAUCAGGCCUACCUCAUUGGCAUAUUAAGAAAGUUUUCUCAAGUAUAUUUAGUGUUUAUCAUUUUACUAUAGUUCUUCAAAUGUCUGACAUUCAUCCUUUCCCUACCUCUACAUUCCUUUCUUUUUCACAUUAUCUUUCUUGAUUGCUUUUUAAUAGAAAAACAAACAAAGACAUGGAUUUACUGUGCAUAUUAGCAGAUCCAUACUGGAAAAUGCAUGGAGGUUUCAUAUACACCACUUACAGAUGCAGAAAGGCAGUGAACUCCUCCGGAGUAGCUGUCAGGUCACCAUUGAGGUCUGCAGCUUUGAAUCUUCUCUCAUCACGUGGCAGCAUCUUUUUAAAGGUGUGAUGAUCUGAAGAAUCAUGAAACUCUGCGGGGUUUCCUAGGUUUUCAGCUCCUCAGUAGUGACAAAGCCAUACCCAUCAUUGUCGAUUCGAUCAACAAUCUUCCCUAGCCUCUCCUUGCUCUCGUCCGGGGUGAGCUCGUCGAAGUUCUUGGAGUCCUCCUUGCCCAGGAAGGCCUCGUGGUCGUACUGGAAGCUCUGGUUGUCCUCAGGGGGCCGCUCGCCCAGCUCCGAGUCGGGCCGCACCACGCGCUCUUUGCGCACCGUGGGCUUGGCCCGCAGAACCCGCGGCGCCAGCACCAGCGCCAGCAGCAGCCCCAGGGCUAACCCCAGGCGGCCACCGCGCGCCAUCGUCCCGAGGAGAGGGCGGCCGGGAGGGAGACGCUGAGCGAGCGACAACAGCGGCAGCUCGGGAAUGGGGGCUCGGAGCGCGGCGGCCAAGUUUUAUGUUAUGUAUAUUUUACAAGUAAAAAAAUUUUUUCACCUCAGCCUGA
rnacentral:lncRNA from 1 species